rnacentral:rRNA from 2 species
AGCAGCCGCGGUAAUUCCAGCUCCAAUAGCGUAUAUUAAAGUUGUUGCAGUUAAAAAGCUCGUAGUUGAAUUUCGGGAUUGACGUGACGGUCAUGCCUUAAGGGGUAUGAACUGUUACAGUUGAUUUCUCACCUUCUGGAGAAACUUGAUGUCCUUUAUUGGGUGUCUUGCGGAUCCAGGACCUUUACCUUGAAAAAAUUAGAGUGUUUAAAGCAGGCAUUUUUGCUCGAAUACAUUAGCAUGGAAUAAUAGAAUAGGACGGCAUGGUUCUAUUUUGUUGGUUUCUAGGAUCACCGUAAUGAUUAAUAGGGAUAGUUGGGGGCAUUAGUAUUCAAUUGUCAGAGGUGAAAUUCUUGGAUUUAUUGAAGACUAACUACUGCGAAAGCAUUUGCCAAGGAUGUUUUCAUUAAUCAAGAACGAAAGUUAGGGGAUCGAAGACGAUCAGAUACCGUCGUAGUCUUAACCAUAAACUAUGCCGACUAGGAAUCAGACGAUGUUAAUUUUUUAAUGACUCGUUUGGCACCUUACG